GGACAAACUUUUGUCACUUGUCACCCCCCUGCCCCUCCGCCACCCGCUCCCUUCCAGCAAGGGAUGCUGGUGGUCCCCGUCGUGGCCAACCUGGGCCCCCUGGAGAACCUGAAGCUGUCCCCAAACCCCGAGGAGGUGGCGGAGACCUUCACGCUGCCACUGGCCCACCUGCUGCAGGAGGAGAACCAGGGCUACACGCAUUUCCGCACGCGGGGCCGCUACGGCUACACCCUGCCUGUUUUCCUCCAUGGCCCCCACCGCGUUUGGGGGCUCACAGCCAUCAUCACCGAGCUCACCCUGGAGCUGCUGGCGCCCGAGCGCUACCGCAGGAAGACCCACGUGCCCGGCCGCCACCUCGCCGCCCCUCCGCGCAGGGCCUGACCCCGACCUUUUCCCAAUAUUUGGGGUGCCGCCUGCCCUUCGCAGCACUCCGGGGGUGCUGCCUGUUGGUUUGGUUUGUUGUUUUUUGGGGUGCGUGGGGCUCAGCCCCGCCGUGUGCUAGAGGGGAGGGGGCAGCCCCGGGGCUGUCACGCACUCCACGCUGCUGCCCAGCCUGUGACACUGUGAUUGUAGUAAAAAGCCAUGUUUUAAACCACUUACACCACAGCCUCCAGCUCGCUGGUGCAGGUAAGAGCCCUCCUUGGGGCCAGGGAGCUGCUUGGCUCAGGGGUCCAGGGAGAGGAGGGGAAAUGGGGGCUUGUGGGGAGCCAGGACCUCACCCAGAGGCUUCCCAGCCCUUGGCUAAGCCUGGCCACAUCGCCCUUUCCCAGGGAGCCUCUGCUCCUGAUUUUAUGACUGCAGCCCCCCAAAGCAGAGAGAGGAGCCUGUGAGCACAGCAGCGUUUAUUAAGGAGCCCCCAGCAGCAGCCCCUUACCCCCACGAAGCCCCCAGGCAGGGGGGAGCACAGUGCCACCCCCCCGUCCUCCACCGCUGCCUCCUCACGCCGAGGCCGCUCGAGCUUUGGCCUCCCCAAAGCGCCGCAUCCUGUCCUCCAGCUCCGGCCGAAAGUGGCGGAUUAGGCCCUGGGGAGAGCAAACGAGGCGGAAUUAACAGGGCAGGAAUUAACACCAGCCGAAAAUCCCCCCAAAACCCCCCCUCCUGGCCCCACAACCCCGCACCUGCACGGGCCAGGCGGCGCCGUCACCCAGGGCGCAGAUGGUGUGGCCCUCGAUCUGCUUGCUGAUCUCCCAGAGCGCGUCGAUCUCGGCCACCUGCGCGUCGCCCCGCACGAAGCGAGCCAUCACUUUAUUCAUCCAGUCGACGCCUACGAGGAGGGGAAGGUGGUGAGGGUCCCACGGCACCGGCUGCUGCCCCCCCCAACCCAUCCGUCCUAGCCUCAUGCGCUCACCUUCCCGGCACG
rnacentral:lncRNA from 1 species